CUUCCAGUGGCCGCCUAGUCCAGCUCCAAACUCGUUGCAGAUUCAAUCAGGCCGACUCUGGCCCAAACUACGGCCCUACACCCCAGCGAGUCUACGAUUACCCAUUUCAGAUAAAGUUUUGGUCCUUGCUUUCAGAGAUGCUAAUUUGAUUUUUGGUCUCUCAAAUUAUCUGUUCUUAUAUUUUUUAAGUUUUCUGCGUUUUUCAUAUAGAAUUUUCCCUUGUUUUUCAAAGAAAGAUUGAUCUCUGUAGUUACAUUUAAUUUAAUUUUAGUUCCUCAAAACAUUAUGACAAGAAAUCAUAGGGACCUAGGAUAUGAUGUCAAAAAAGUAUUUUGUGAAGCCCACAAACAAAAUUGUAAUCCAACUUAGGUGUCAUCACUCAUCAACAAUGGAAUUCAAAGCUCAUUUUUAUUGCAUACAUAAAUGCUUGGUACAACUUGUAUAAUAAGAUCUCACACUAAUGCAAUUUGGCAAAGCUACAAGGCUCUGCCAUUUCACAAUACUUUUUGGCCUCUUGCUGAUCGCAGGGCUUGUAAUCUCUAUAUAUUCUCAUGAUAAUGAUGAUAAUAAUAAUAAUGGCAACCUAAUGAAGAAAAUUUCCUAUAAUAGAGGGCUCUGAUAAUAAUGUACACAUGCUUGCUUUCAUGUCUAACUAGCUAACAUUGUGAAGGGAUAUAUCUAAAAACUGCUUCACCCUUCUCAGGUGAUCCAACAAUGAACAGCCACUUGAAAUUUACAUAUCUCUUUCAUUGAUUUAAUGGUUCAACAGAUAUCAUGAUCGGUUUGAAUCCGGUUGCUCGAUGGCUUCCCGAUCUGUAAACAAUCGAUAGUAGGGACAGUGGGGGAUCUCAGUUCUCCAUAAGUCUGCCAGCAGAAUGGAUUACAUAGAUGGUAUUGCUCCUGAACUGGUUUCAGCUCCACCUUGUUUAACGACACGUCCACGCAUGGCAGGCUAUCACUGCAUGCGAAGUGAACCGGCUUUACCGUUGAUGUUUGAGACACAGGCUCUGGUGUUAUCCUUCCCUAAGCUUCCAAUGCUGAUUCCAUGUCCUGGCCCACAGUUGACAUCGUGUACAAAUACAUUUGAGCACCCAGUUUGUAUGGAAAUACAGUCAUCACCUGCACCAUGGUUGAAAUUCAGAACAAUACUUAUUAGCCAACUCAAAAACUACUUUAUGGUGUUUUUUUGUGCUUAUCUAAUCCUUGAAAAGAAGUGUUGGAGCAACGGUUGAGUUGUCUCCAUAUAACCUCAAAGCCACAGGUUCAAGCACUGAUAUAAUUACCAGAAGUAACAAAGAUAAUUUACCGGCACCGGUGGUUUCCAUGUGUGGUUUAAAGGGACUAUGAGCUUUUCUUCACCAUCUAUAGGGUUAUCAAAUGGCUGGUCUUGCCACCAAACUGAGCCUCUUCCAUCAAUGACACCCUUUCCUUGAAUGGUGAUUCCCACCAGCUUUGUAAACUCCAGCCAUUGUAGCAGUCCUCCAGACCAAGCAUUUGCAUUUGUUGGAGCAAUAAUUGUACCAUCAAGCUGA